GAAGAGCGUCAUCAUCAUCAUCAUCAUCAGCUUGGACACGUGGUUAAGAUUAAUUACGAUUAAUUGAUCAAUAUUAAAACGAGUUACACUUUUGAUUAUACAACUGAUAUUGAACAUCGAAGAGAUCAAGCUGCAGUUUACAGUAAGAAGACUCAGCAUCAUGAAGAACAAGGAUCUCAGCUUCAGACACGUGCGAGGAACACCAGUAAGAUCAUAACAAUAC